rnacentral:rRNA from 1 species
GACGAACGCUGGCGGCGUGCUUAACACAUGCAAGUCGAACGGAAAGGCCCUGCUUUUGUGGGGUGCUCGAGUGGCGAACGGGUGAGUAACACGUGAAUAACCUGCCCUUGACUUUCGGAUAACUUCAGGAAACUGGGGCUACUACCGGAUAGGAGCUCCUGCUGCAUGGUGGGGGUUGGAAAGUUUCGGCGGUUGGGGAUGGACUCGCGGCUUAUCAGCUUGUUGGUGGGGUAGUGGCUUACCAAGGCGUUGACGGGUAGCCGGCCUGAGAGGGUGACCGGCCACAUUGGGACUGAGAUAAGGCCCAGACUCCUACGGGAGGCAGCAGGGGGGAAUAUUGCACAAUGGGCGGAAGCCUGAUGCAGCAACGCCGCGUGCGGGAUGACGGCCUUCGGGUUGUAAACCGCUUUCGCCUGUGACGAAGCGUGAGUGACGGUAAUGGGUAAAGAAGCACCGGCUAACUACGUG